UGGUGGAGUGAUUUGUCUGGUUUAUUCCGUUAACGAACGAGACUAGAACUUACUUAAUAGAUGGAUCAAUUCCAUAAGAGUGAAGCAUCUUGGGGUUGCAGGGUUUACUCUGUGAUUCCUUGGUGUGGAUCUUGGGUUAAUUGGUUUAUGCUUCUUAGAAGGACUAUCGGCGGUAAGCCGGUGGAGGUUUCUAGCAAUAACA
rnacentral:rRNA from 1 species